rnacentral:rRNA from 1 species
UACGAAGGGGGCUAGCGUUGUUCGGAUUUACUGGGCGUAAAGCGCGUUCAGGCGGUUCGGCAAGUCGGGCAUGAAAUCUCUCGGCUCAACCGGGAGAGGUUGUCCGAUACUGUUGGACUUGAGGGCAGUAGAGGGUGGUGGAAUUCCGGGUGUAGUGGUGAAAUGCGUAGAUAUCCGGAGGAACACCAGUGGCGAAAGCGGCCACCUGGACUGUACCUGACGCUCAAACGCGAAAGCUAGGGGAGCGAACGGG